GAUGAAGAACGUAGCGAAAUGCGAUACGUAGUGUGAAUUGCAGAAUUCAGUGAAUCAUCGAAUCUUUGAACGCACAUUGCGCCCGGCAGUACUCUGCCGGGCAUGCCUGUUCGAGCGUCAUUUCAACCCUCAAGCCCUGCUUGGUGUUGGGGUCCCACGGCCGCCGUGGGCCCUGAAAGGAAGUGGCGGGCUCGCUACAACUCCGAGCGUAGUAAUUCAUUAUCUCGCUUAGGGCGUUGGGCGGCGCUCCUGCCGUUAAAGAACCAUCUUUAACUCAAGGUUGACCUCGGAUCAGGUAGGAAUACCCGCUGAACUUAAGCAUAUCAAUAAGCGGAGGA
rnacentral:misc_RNA from 1 species